UACGGGGGGAGCAAGCGUUGUUCGGAUUUACUGGGCGUAAAGGGCGCGUAGGCGGCCACUCAAGUCGAAUGUGAAACCUCGAGGCUUAACCUCGAGCCUGCAUUCGAUACUGGGCGGCUAGAGUCUGGUAGGGGGAUCUGGAAUUCCUGGUGUAGCGGUGGAAUGCGCAGAUAUCAGGAGGAACACCGGUGGCGAAGGCGGGAUCCUGGGCCAGUACUGACGCUGAGGAGCGAAAGCGUGGGGAGCAAACAGG
rnacentral:rRNA from 1 species